AACGAACGCUGGCGGCGUGCUUAACACAUGCAAGUCGAACGGAAAGGCCAGUGCUUGCACUGGUACUCGAGUGGCGAACGGGUGAGUAACACGUGGGUGAUCUGCCCUGUACUUCGGGAUAAGCUUGGGAAACUGGGUCUAAUACCGGAUAGGACAACUUUUUGGAUAUUGUUGUGGAAAGCUUUUGCGGUAUGGGAUGAGCUCGCGGCCUAUCAGCUUGUUGGUGGGGUAAUGGCCUACCAAGGCGUCGACGGGUAGCCGGCCUGAGAGGGUGUACGGCCACAUUGGGACUGAGAUACGGCCCAGACUCCUACGGGAGGCAGCAGUGGGGAAUAUUGCACAAUGGGCGCAAGCCUGAUGCAGCGACGCCGCGUGGGGGAUGAAGGCCUUCGGGUUGUAAACUCCUUUCGCUAGGGACGAAGCGCAAGUGACGGUACCUGGAGAAGAAGCACCGGCUAACUACGUG
rnacentral:rRNA from 1 species